AGUUUGAUCAUGGCUCAGAACGAACGCUGGCGGCAGGCUUAACACAUGCAAGUCGAACGGGUGCAGCAAUGCAUCAGUGGCAGACGGGUGAGUAACACGUGGGAACCUUCCUAGGGGUACGGAACAACUCAGGGAAACUUGAGCUAAUACCGUAUACGUCCGUGAGGAGAAAGAUUUAUCGCCCUUAGACGGGCCCGCGUCGGAUUAGCUAGUUGGUGGGGUAACGGCCUACCAAGGCGACGAUCCGUAGCUGAUCUUAGAGGAUGAUCAGCCACACUGGGACUGAGACACGGCCCAGACUCCUACGGGAGGCAGCAGUGGGGAAUCUUGGACAAUGGGCGCAAGCCUGAUCCAGCCAUGCCGCGUGAGUGAAGAAGGUCUUCGGAUUGUAAAGCUCUUUUGCCAGGGACGAUAAUGACGGUACCUGGAGAAUAAGCCCCGGCAAACUUCGUG
rnacentral:rRNA from 1 species